AGUGAACGCUGGCGGUAGGCCUAACACAUGCAAGUCGAACGGCAGCACAGUAAGAGCUUGCUCUUACGGGUGGCGAGUGGCGGACGGGUGAGGAAUACAUCGGAAUCUACUUUUUCGUGGGGGAUAACGUAGGGAAACUUACGCUAAUACCGCAUACGACUUACGGGUGAAAGCAGGGGAUCUUCGGACCUUGCGCGAUUGAAUGAGCCGAUGUCGGAUUAGCUAGUUGGCGGGGUAAAGGCCCACCAAGGCGACGAUCCGUAGCUGGUCUGAGAGGAUGAUCAGCCACACUGGAACUGAGACACGGUCCAGACUCCUACGGGAGGCAGCAGUGGGGAAUAUUGGACAAUGGGCGCAAGCCUGAUCCAGCCAUACCGCGUGGGUGAAGAAGGCCUUCGGGUUGUAAAGCCCUUUUGCUGGGAAAGAAAAGCAGCAGGUUAAUACCCCGCUGUUCUGACGGUACCCAAAGAAUAAGCACCGGCUAACUUCGUG
rnacentral:rRNA from 1 species